rnacentral:rRNA from 1 species
UACGUAGGGGGCAAGCGUUGUCCGGAUUUAUUGGGCGUAAAGAGCGUGUAGGCGGCCAAGCAGGUCCGCUGUGAAAACUCGAGGCUCAACCUCGAGAGGUCGGUGGAAACCGUUUGGCUAGAGUCCGGAAGAGGAGAGUGGAAUUCCCGGUGUAGCGGUGAAAUGCGCAGAUAUCGGGAAGAACACCCGUGGCGAGGCGGCUCUCUGGGACGGUACUG